rnacentral:rRNA from 1 species
UUUUGACCUCAAAUCGGGUGAGACUACCCGCUGAACUUAAGCAUAUCAAUAAGCGGAGGAAAAGAAACUAACAAGGAUUCCCCUAGUAACUGCGAGUGAAGCGGGAAAAGCUCAAAUUUAAAAUCUGGCGGUCUUUGGCUGUCCGAGUUGUAAUUUAGAGAAGCGUCUUCCGCGCCGGACCGUGCACAAGUCUCCUGGAAUGGAGCGUCAUAGAGGGUGAGAAUCCCGUCUUUGGCAUGGAACCCCCGGGGCUUCUGUGAUGCGCUCUCGAAGAGUCGAGUUGUUUGGGAAUGCAGCUCAAAAUGGGUGGUGAACUCCAUCUAAAGCUAAAC